UGGCACGGUUCCUAAGGGUUUGUGCUCUUGUCCGUGGGUCAGACUCUCCAACCACGUGCCAGAGGAGUUGGGGAGACUUUGACUGUCAGGGCUCAAUCAUGCCUGCGACAGCCACUCUACUUUCCAACAACA